CACUCCUGCGGGAGGCAGCAGUGGGGAAUUUUGGACAAUGGGCGAAAGCCUGAUCCAGCAAUGCCGCGUGAGUGAAGAAGGCCUUCGGGUUGUAAAGCUCUUUUGUCAGGGAAGAAACGGUGAAAGCUAAUAUCUUUUGCUAAUGACGGUACCUGAAGAAUAAGCACCGGCUAACUACGUGCCAGCAGCCGCGGUAAUACGUAGGGUGCAAGCGUUAAUCGGAAUUACUGGGCGUAAAGCGUGCGCAGGCGGUUUUGUAAGUCUGAUGUGAAAUCCCCGGGCUCAACCUGGGAAUUGCAUUGGAGACUGAAAGGCUAGAAUCUGGCAGAGGGGGGUAGAAUUCCACGUGUAGCAGUGAAAUGCGUAGAUAUGUGGAGGAACACCGAUGGCGAAGGCAGCCCCCUGGGUCAAGAUUAACGCUCAUGCACGAAAGCGUGGGGAGCAAACAGGAUUAGAUACCCGGGUAGUCCCAU
rnacentral:rRNA from 1 species